rnacentral:rRNA from 1 species
UACGGAGGGGGCUAGCGUUGUUCGGAAUUACUGGGCGUAAAGCGCACGUAGGCGGCUUUGUAAGUUAGAGGUGAAAGCCCAGGGCUUAACCCUGGAAUUGCCUUUAAGACUGCAUCGCUAGAAUUGUGGAGAGGUAAGUGGAAUUCCGAGUGUAGAGGUGAAAUUCGUAGAUAUUCGGAAGAACAUCAGUGGCGAAAGCGGCACCCUGGCAUUAGCCUGACGCUCAUGUGCGAAAGCGUGGGGAGCGAACGGG